GAUGAACGCUGGCGGCGUGCCUAAUACAUGCAAGUCGAGCGAACAGACGAGGAGCUUGCUCCUCUGACGUUAGCGGCGGACGGGUGAGUAACACGUGGAUAACCUACCUAUAAGACUGGGAUAACUUCGGGAAACCGGCGCUAAUACCGGAUAAUAUAUUGAACCGCAUGGUUCAAUAGUGAGAGACGGUUUUGCUGUCACUUAUAGAUGGAUCCGCGCCGCAUUAGCUAGUUGGUAAGGUAACGGCUUACCAAGGCAACGAUGCGUAGCCGACCUGAGAGGGUGAUCGGCCACACUGGAGCUGAGACACGGUCCAGACUCCUACGGGAGGCAGCAGUAGGGAAUCUUCCGCAAUGGGCGAAAGCCUGACGGAGCAACGCCGCGUGAGUGAUGAAGGUCUUCGGAUCGUAAAACUCUGUUAUUAGGGAAGAACAAAUGUGUAAGUAACUAUGCACGUCUUGACGGUACCUAAUCAGAAAGCCACGGCUAACUACGUG
rnacentral:rRNA from 1 species